AGGACCGAAGUGGACGAACCUCUGGUGUAUCUGUUGUUCUGCCAAGAGCAAAUGCAGAGUAGCUACGUUCGGAAGGGAUAACCGCUGAAAGCAUCUAAGCGGGAAGCCCACCUUAAGAUGAGAUUUCCCUGGGAGCCUGACUCCCCUGAAGACUCCAGAGACACUAUCUGGUUGAUAGGCUGCAGGUACAAGCACCGCGAGGUGUUCAGCCGAGCAGUACUAAUAAGUCGUGAGGCUUGACCAU
rnacentral:rRNA from 1 species